UACACACCGCCCGUCACACCACGAAAGCCUGUUGUACCUGAAGUCGUUGGCGCCAACCGCAAGGAGGCAGACGCCCACGGUAUGGCCGGUGAUUGGGGUGAAGUCGUAACAAGGUACCC
rnacentral:rRNA from 1 species